ensembl:lncRNA TTN-AS1 TTN antisense RNA 1
CUGGGCAGAUUGCUCUCCCUCCCCACUCUCCCAGGCCCAAAUUGGAUCUCAGCGCCUGGGAGCUCCAACUUUAGCAAGUGCGAAAUCCUGUCUUCGGUUUUGGAAUUUUCAUCCGCACAGACUAUAUCAGCCACGGAUAGGAUAUGUGAGAAUACCAGCAUGUCAAGGCUGGGAAUCAUCCUUAGGCAUCACCUAGCCAGUCCUGCCUCUCAUUUUAAGAGAAUAGACGCCUUGAUGGCUCCUCUGGCAGUUCUUGAUGACCAUGGAUGAGCUAAUGGCUGUGGUCUCAAUGGUGGCUUCUUGAGGAGCAUGCAGAGAAAUUGCUUUAGCCUCUGAUAAAUAAAACAGACUGCGAGGAAAAUUACAGCGAGGAAAUUACAGACAUCAUCUCCUUUGAACAGGGAAAAGGUAACAGCUAAUUUCAAAUGGUCCAGUGCCUGAGACUUCACACUGAAGUAGAGCAUUUGUUCCUCUCACUAUGUCUGCAGGCUCAAGAGUUUUGAUGAAAGAAGGAGGUUCUACAAAAGCAUGAAAGCAUUGUGUGGACCUUCUUAUUGAUAGCGGACUGCACAGGCUCUAAUUCUUUAAUGAAAUGUGGCUUAUCAAUGAUGAUCAACUCUGCUUGGCAGAUGUCUGCUCCAAACUUGUUGGAAGCCUUACAAGAAUAAACUCCUCUAUCUUGAAUGGUGGAGUCUCGCUAUGUUGCCCAGGCUGGAGAGCAGUGGUGCAAUCCUGGCUUACUGCAACCUCUGCCUCCUGGCUUCAAGCAAUUCUCCUGCCUCAGCCUCCCAAGUAGCUGGGACUACAGGCUCUGCAGUACCUACCUACCAUGUUACUGUCUUGGUUGUUGGUCUCUCCAGUUGGUAAUACAAGCAUUUCCCACACAUGUACAGAAAGCAAAAAGGACAACAAUAUGAAAUGAAGUGACAACAUCUGUGCCAAUGUAUGGCAUUUACCUGUCACAGUUAGUGUGGCUGUACAGCUGACACUGCCAUACUCAUUGGAAGCUUUGCAUGUAUACUCGCCGCAGUCAACCACCUGGGUUCUCAGGAUUUCAAGGCUGGAGAUAUACUUUGAAGAUCGAAUAGAACACUUGUCACUCUCAUAAAUUUCUCGGCCAGCUUUAAACCACUGGAACCGGACAUUGGGAGCACUUUGGAUCUCACAGCAUAUAAGCAUUAGAAGACAGGACUCAAGUGUCUGCUGGCUGUAAAAAUACUGGAGAAACUCAUCUAUAGCAUGCAGAAUACAUAUUCAGUCAUUGUGUACAAUGCAGCUGUAUAGUCCUUGGUCUACCAGCUGAACAUUACAUAUGACUCAGGUUGGCUGUGCUUGAUACUUGGCCUACAGCAUUACUAGCAACAAACGUCUUCUUCCUUUGGUGAACUGAAUGAGGCACCAGGAUACACAUGAACUGCCACUGGACAUGAACUGCACACAAUAAAAACCCGGCAUUGAAAACGGGCUGGCUGCCCUUCAGAAGUGACAGUGUCCUGAAGCGGGGUGAUGAUGGCAGGUGGAUAAACAGGCAUUUCCUGAUCAGGAGACACAACUUCUGGAACUAAAGAAAGAAACCACAAGAUUUGUCAUGAUUAAGUCACCAUAGAGACCUCACAGAAGGGAGCAUGACAUCAAUUCCAGAGUGGGACAGCUCAACCUCAAACACCACAUUUUGAGUUUCUGUACAGGUUGUCUUUUUCCCGUCGAUGACAAAGCUGUAUUCUCCCUGGUCCUCCUUGGUUACAUCCUUGACCGUGAGGUUCUGACGUCCACGACGAGAUGUAAUUGUAUAUUUGCCAUUGGAUUUAAGCUCCACAUCAUUAUGAUACCAUUUUCCUUCUAUAUUUUCUGGGGAUACAAUGCACUCUAAUUCUCCUGAAUAUGAUUCUGGAACUUCUAUGUCCUGAAGUUCUUUCACAAACUCAACAACUGCACCUGAAGUGUAUAACAGAAAGAUAAAUCAAUUUUUUUGGAGAGGUAUGCAUCUAGACUUAGGAUAGAGAUGAUGUCUUGUAUGUCUUUUAUCUCCCCCAUACUAUCAGGUGUAUUCUUAAUAUCUACCCGCUGAUGGGCUGAGAGAUAAAUUUUCAAUAAGAAGCAGUUAUUUUAUUUUAAUUUUUAAAUAUUUUUGAAAGUAAAGAAUUAUGCUUCAAUAAAAAACUUAAAAGCUAAAAAUCAAGAUAAUACUACUUUAAAAAAUCCAAAUGGUCAAAUUGUUAACAUUCUUAAUUACGAACAUAAAUUUAUGAUUCUGGCUAUGAAACUUAUAGUCAAUUUCCAAAUAAUUGUUUCAUGAAAGAAAAAUUGCAUAGCUAAUUUUACCACAUGCUAAGGGUGACUUUAGAGCUUAGGUAAACAAUGAAAUCCUUCGUUGUUGAAUACCUUCAACAAUAAGUUUAGCAGUCGUUUUGACAUUUUCAUCUUCCACAAGUACACAGCUGUAAUCUUCAGCAUCAGACGUAUCAAUGGUCAGUAUGGAGAGGAAGUGAACCUUUCUGUCAGAGUGCAUCCUGUAUUUAUCUCCCUCAUGAACCUCCAUACCAUCUUUAUACCAUUUCACUUUGACAAAUGGUUCUGAAGUUUCACAUUCAAAGGUUGCCAUAGUGUCUUUUUCCUUAGCAACAACAUCUUGUAAUUCCUGUGUGAAAGUGAUCAAUUGCUUGGCUACAAGAAAAAGGUGGGGGAAAAAGGGGAGAGCACAUUAUAUUAAAUUAAAUUCUCAACCUGAGGAAUGGGGAAAGAAAAUAAAAGUAAACACACUCAUGGAUAUUCUUGAAUACAAAGACAGGUCCAUCAAAGGAAAGACAUGCAAAUUACCUUGGACAAGUAAGAAUGCGUGACUGGAGGUUUCUCCAGCUAUGUUGAUGGCUUUUACCAUGAUGCUGGCAGAGUCCUCAGCAGUCACAUCUCUUAUGACCAAUUCACAAACAUUGUCUUCGGGCCAGUACCAGUAGAUCCGGUCAGACCGUUCAAUUUUGACACCAUUUUUGUACCAUUCACAUUCGGGGUCUGGUUUCCCCACGACUCUGACCCGGAAGUGUGCAUCAGAUCCUUGGCCCACUGUUUGGCUCUGGAUUCUUUCGAAGAUUUUUGGAGCCUCCAUACUAGGACUUAGUUCAAUCUUGUCAGGUUUAAAAGUUGGAAUCGUGAUUUUGCCUUCUUCGGCAAGAGCUUUCUUUUCCUCUUCAGUUAACUCUUUGGUCCAGUGGAGAAGUUCAUCUUUUGUCUUCCUGAGGAGUUCCUCAUAGGAUUCAUCCUUCUUUCGAGACUUGAGCUCCACAGCGGUAAUGGCUUCAUAAUAGCCCUCUUCUGUUCUGCGCUUGAAUUUACUGCGCAGCUCUUCCGACUCUUCAGGCACUUUUUCAUGGGUAAUUCUUUCAGCCCUUUUCAACUUCACAACUUCUUUGGUUUCAGUGGUGUCAACAGGUCUAUCCACUUUUUGUACUUCAAACUGAAGCUUUCCUGGUUCAUGUACGUGAAACUCAGGCCUUGGUUCAGGAGCUCUCCUAAGGACAGACCUAAAAUCUUCCCUCUGUUGAAUCUCAAGCUUCACUUUAUGCUCUAUCACACCUUCAGGAUUUUCCGCGGUGACCUUCACUUCACCUGUGUCAUAUGAUUUGCAGUCCACGAUGUCCAGGUAAUGGAUACCAUCAUAGCGAACUCUGAACCUUUUGCUUUUGCGGAUGAGCUGUCCAUUGAGGUACCAGUUGACUUUGGGCUGAGGGUAGCCUGUUACCCUGCAGCGGAACCUUGCAGUCUCCCCUUCAAGUACUCUAACUGGCUCUGGGUACAAGACAAUGUCUGGCUUUUGCUUUUCUUUCUGAUCUGUUGUUACACCUGUAAGUGCACCUUCAUGAGCCAUUCUCUCUAAUUCUUCAAUUCUCUGUAAGCCUUUCCUCCCCUCAGGCAAUUGGGAUUCUUCCACAAGACUUUUCUCAUCUUUAACAAUAAGGGUAGCAGAUGUGUGAUCUGUUCCAUAUUUGUUAGUGGCUCUGC